rnacentral:rRNA from 1 species
GAUGAACGCUGGCGGCGUGCCUAAUACAUGCAAGUCGAGCGAACGGACGAGAAGCUUGCUUCUCUGAUGUUAGCGGCGGACGGGUGAGUAACACGUGGAUAACCUACCUAUAAGACUGGGAUAACUUCGGGAAACCGGAGCUAAUACCGGAUAAUAUUUUGAACCGCAUGGUUCAAAAGUGAAAGACGGUCUUGCUGUCACUUAUAGAUUGAUCCGCGCUGCAUUAGCUAGUUGGUAAGGUAACGGCUUACCAAGGCAACGAUGCAUAGCCGACCUGAGCGGGUGAUCGGCCACACUGGAACUGAGACACGGUCCAGACUCCUACGGGAGGCAGCAGUAGGGAAUCUUCCGCAAUGGGCGAAAGCCUGACGGAGCAACGCCGCGUGAGUGAUGAAGGGCUUCGGAUCGUAAAACUCUGUUAUUAGGGAAGAACAUAUGUGUAAGUAACUGUGCACAUCUUGACGGUACCUAAUCAGAAAGCCACGGCUAACUACGUG